rnacentral:lncRNA from 1 species
AAAAGGAUUGGGUUAAAGGUUGCAAUAACAGUGACCCCCUCCUGCCAGGCAUGAUGAAUCUUCCUAUCUAGACAAACUUGCUUUAAUCUCCUUUUGUUUCCCACUCUACUUCCUUUGAGAGAUGUCAGAGAUAAUGAUGGUGAGUGGGCUAAAUUCACUUUCUUCCUCUCACUUCCUUCUCCACUUGGCUCUUAGCUUCACCUCCACUACUCCCCAUGCACACAUGCCUUCAGAUAUAAUAUUUACAGCUACUUAUUGCCUUUUAUUUGCUGUGCUCUCACUGCUAAUUAUCCUACAUUAUGUUUCAUUCUCUUUGGUUUUGUUGCCAAGAAAUAUCCCUAUAUCCUUACUCCCUGCCAUCCCUUGCUCUUAGAAAUCUGGUUUUCCUUUAAUGAUGCUGUUUUCCUUUUUCUGUGAAGUGGAGCCUGGCUGUUCUGGUGAAGUCACUGUGGGCUAGUAGAUUGAGAAUGAGUUCAUAGUCACACUUGAGUUCAAAUCUGAACUACAUCAUAGGUGAGCUGUGUGUCCUUGGAUUUAUAACCUCAAUUUGCAUACUGAGGAGAAGUUUAAGGAUCUCUGCAUCAAAGAGUUAUUGUGAAGGCAAAAAAGGGCUGCAGUUCCUGAUACUGGUUUUUCUACAUGCUUCAGCCAAAGACAUAUACUCUUUGAUCCCUGAGAACACUAUUUCCUCAGUGUCUUUGCACAUGGAGUUCACUUCUCUGCUUGUGAAGUCUAUGAAUAUUGCAUGGCUGAUUUGUCACAAUUUUAAGUCUUCAACAUCUGGAGUGUUCUGGCAAGAAUUUGUAGGAAAAAUUUUUGAAUCAUCAGAUUACCAUAGCACAACCUUGGAGAAUAAAACUCUUUUGCUCUGAAGCUCAUCUAAUAACCUGAUAUCUCUCAAAUGAAUCUAUCCAAUGACAGGGAAUACCCCAUGUUAAACAGCUGAUUCUUGUUCUGAAUACGUUUAUUAUCUUGUAGUUAGUAAAUAAAUCAAUUGGACCCUUAA